AGUCAUUCAUUUCUCUCUAGAGGUGGCCAAACCCUCCCAUUCUUUCUCUCUAAAAGUUUUUCUAAUUUUUCCACACAACUCUCUCAAUCUCUCAUCUCUACUCUUUUCUAAAUACUGUCCUGCUUCCCUUUGUUAGUUUUAGAAGUUAGAAGAAGCUCCAAAGGAGAAAAAUUCAAGAGGUUUGAGGCUUGAUCAAAUGAUAGAGGUGUUAGAGACAACUCAAAGAGUCUACAAGAGUUAUAGUAUUAGCUAACGAGACGGGGCGGUCCGUGGGAGGAUUGCACGCACGUAGCAAGGACAACCUGUA